AGGAUGGCAGCCUGCAGUGCCCCACCUGCAAGGCCAUCUACGGGGAGAAGACGGGUACGCAGCCGCCUGGGAAGAUGGAGUUCCACCUCAUCCCCCACUCGCUGCCCGGCUUCCCUGAUACCCAGACCAUCCGCAUCGUCUAUGACAUCCCCACAGGCAUCCAGGGCCCUGAGCACCCCAACCCCGGGAAGAAGUUCACCGCAAGAGGAUUCCCUCGCCACUGCUAUCUACCCAACAACGAGAAAGGCCGGAAGGUGGGUGCCCAGCCGUGAGGGCAUGGGAGAUAGGCACAGGCAGGGGCUCCAGCAACCACUGGCCUGGGCCUGUGGUCCCCAUCAUUCCCAAUCCCUGCUCUCACAUUCCUCCCAAAAGCAGCACCCGAACAGUAACGACCACAGCCACCUCCUUCACACAUCUUAUCUCGUUUCCUGAGCCACUGAGGUCAAGAUCCUGACCCCAUUUU
rnacentral:lncRNA from 10 species